UUGAGGUAGUUGGACUCUUCUGGACUCUCCCUCUGGAUACAUCUUGCAGUCCCCAGUGGCAGACGGGCUGCUGCUGUGCCACUCGCGAGCCACACUCAGCGUUGAUACUCAGCAGAACAGACAUACAUUUCAUGUGGCAAGUGAUCAGCACUAUGGGGACAUAUGCAGAAGGUGGCCAGGAAUAUGGAGACAGAAUUAAGGCUAUUCACAUUUCCUAACUAAGUUGCAGCUACAGAAUGGGGCUGGCCAGCCGUCGUCACAG